rnacentral:rRNA from 1 species
GGCUCAGGAUGAACGCUAGCGACAGGCUUAACACAUGCAAGUCGAGGGGCAGCGGGGUGUAGCAAUACACCGCCGGCGACCGGCGCACGGGUGAGUAACGCGUAUGCAACUUGCCUAUCAGAGGGGGAUAACCCGGCGAAAGUCGGACUAAUACCGCAUGAAGCAGGGAUCCCGCAUGGGAAUAUUUGCUAAAGAUUCAUCGCUGAUAGAUAGGCAUGCGUUCCAUUAGGCAGUUGGCGGGGUAACGGCCCACCAAACCGACGAUGGAUAGGGGUUCUGAGAGGAAGGUCCCCCACAUUGGUACUGAGACACGGACCAAACUCCUACGGGAGGCAGCAGUGAGGAAUAUUGGUCAAUGGGCGUAAGCCUGAACCAGCCAAGUCGCGUGAGGGAUGAAGGUUCUAUGGAUCGUAAACCUCUUUUAUAAGGGAAUAAAGUGCGGGACGUGUCCCGUUUUGUAUGUACCUUAUGAAUAAGGAUCGGCUAACUCCGUGCCAGCAGCCGCGGUAAUACGGAGGAUCCGAGCGUUAUCCGGAUUUAUUGGGUUUAAAGGGUGCGUAGGCGGCCUUUUAAGUCAGCGGUGAAAGUCUGUGGCUCAACCAUAGAAUUGCCGUUGAAACUGGGGGGCUUGAGUAUGUUUGAGGCAGGCGGAAUGCGUGGUGUAGCGGUGAAAUGCAUAGAUAUCACGCAGAACCCCGAUUGCGAAGGCAGCCUGCCAAGCCAUUACUGACGCUGAUGCACGAAAGCGUGGGGAUCAAACAGGAUUAGAUACCCUGGUAGUCCACGCAGUAAACGAUGAUCACUAGCUGUUUGCGAUACACUGUAAGCGGCACAGCGAAAGCGUUAAGUGAUCCACCUGGGGAGUACGCCGGCAACGGUGAAACUCAAAGGAAUUGACGGGGGCCCGCACAAGCGGAGGAACAUGUGGUUUAAUUCGAUGAUACGCGAGGAACCUUACCCGGGUUUGAACGCAUUCGGACCGAGGUGGAAACACCUUUUCUAGCAAUAGCCGUUUGCGAGGUGCUGCAUGGUUGUCGUCAGCUCGUGCCGUGAGGUGUCGGCUUAAGUGCCAUAACGAGCGCAACCCUUGCCACUAGUUACUAACAGGUUAGGCUGAGGACUCUGGUGGGACUGCCAGCGUAAGCUGCGAGGAAGGCGGGGAUGACGUCAAAUCAGCACGGCCCUUACAUCCGGGGCGACACACGUGUUACAAUGGCGUGGACAAAGGGAGGCCACCUGGCGACAGGGAGCGAAUCCCCAAACCACGUCUCAGUUCGGAUCGGAGUCUGCAACCCGACUCCGUGAAGCUGGAUUCGCUAGUAAUCGCGCAUCAGCCAUGGCGCGGUGAAUACGUUCCCGGGCCUUGUACACACCGCCCGUCAAGCCAUGGGAGCCGGGGGUACCUGAAGUCCGUAACCGAAAGGAUCGGCCUAGGGUAAAACUGGUGACUGGGGCUAAGUCGUAACAAGGUAUCC